GGGGCUGUAGCUCAGUCGGUUUAGAGUGCCGGCCUGUCAAGCCGGAGGUCGCGGGUUCAAGUCCCGUCAGCCCCGCCA
rnacentral:tRNA from 1 species